GAUGAACGCUAGCGGCAGGCCUAAUACAUGCAAGUCGAACGGUGUAGCAAUACACAAUGGCGCACGGGUGCGUAACACGUAUGCAACCUACCUUACAUUGGGGGAUAGCCUUUCGAAAGGGAGAUUAAUACCGCAUAAGACAGUAACUGGGCAUCCAGUAGCUGUUAAAGAUUUAUCGAUGUAAGCUGGGCAUGCGUCCAAUUAGUUAGUUGGCGAGGUAAUGGCUCACCAAGACGAUGAUUGGUAGUGGAACUGAGAGGUCAAUCCCCCACACUGGCACUGAGAGACGGGCCAGACUCCUACGGGAGGCAGCAGUAGGGAAUAUUGGGCAAUGGGCGCAAGCCUGACCCAGCCAUGCCGCGUGCAGGAAGAAGGCGUUAUGCGUUGUAAACUGCUUUUAUACAGGAAGAAACGACCCUUGCGAGGGGCAUUGACGGUACUGUAUGAAUAAGCACCGGCUAACUCCGUGCCAGCCGCCGCCGUAACAC
rnacentral:rRNA from 1 species